rnacentral:rRNA from 1 species
UUGACGAGUCGUCUUUUAGAUGACGAAGUGGUUGAUGCCAUGCUUCCAAGAAAAGCUUCUAAGCUUCAGGUAACCAGGAACCGUACCCCAAACCGACACAGGUGGUCGGGUAGAGGAUACCAAGGCGCUUGAGAGAACUCGGGUGAAGGAACUAGGCAAAAUGGCACCGUAACUUCGGGAGAAGGUGCGCCGGCUAGGGUGAAGGAUUUACUCCGUAAGCUCUGGCUGGUCGAAGAUACCAGGCCGCUGCGACUGUUUAUUAAAAACACAGCACUCUGCAAACACGAAAGUGGACGUAUAGGGUGUGACGCCUGCCCGGUGCCGGAAGGUUAAUUGAUGGGGUUAGCGCAAGCGAAGCUCUUGAUCGAAGCCCCGGUAAACGGCGGCCGUAACAAUAACGGUCCUAAGGUAGCGAAAUUCCUUGUCGGGUAAGUUCCGACCUGCACGAAUGGCGUAACGAUGGCGGCGCUGUCUCCACCCGAGACUCAGUGAAAUUGAAAUCGCUGUGAAGAUGCAGUGUAUCCGCGGCUAGACGGGAAGACCCCGUGAACCUUUACUGUAGCUUUGCACUGGACUUUGAGCCUGCUUGUGUAGGAUAGGUGGGAGGCUUUGAAGCGUGGACGCCAGUUCGCGUGGAGCCAUCCUUGAAAUACCACCCUGGCAUGCUUGAGGUUCUAACUCUGGUCCGUAAUCCGGAUCGAGGACAGUGUAUGGUGGGCAGUUUGACUGGGGCGGUCUCCUCCUAAAGAGUAACGGAGGAGUACGAAGGUGCGCUCAGACCGGUCGGAAAUCGGUCGCAGAGUAUAAAGGCAAAAGCGCGCUUGACUGCGAGACAGACACGUCGAGCAGGUACGAAAGUAGGUCUUAGUGAUCCGGUGGUUCUGUAUGGAAGGGCCAUCGCUCAACGGAUAAAAGGUACUCCGGGAUAACAGGCUGAUACCGCCCAAGAGUUCAUAUCGACGGCGGUGUUUGGCACCUCGAUGUCGGCUCAUCACAUCCUGGGGCUGAAGCCGGUCCCAAGGGUAUGGCUGUUCGCCAUUUAAAGUGGUACGCGAGCUGGGUUUAGAACGUCGUGAGACAGUUCGGUCCCUAUCUGCCGUGGACGUUUGAGAUUUGAGAGGGGCUGCUCCUAGUACGAGAGGACCGGAGUGGACGAACCUCUGGUGUUCCGGUUGUCACGCCAGUGGCAUUGCCGGGUAGCUAUGUUCGGAAAAGAUAACCGCUGAAAGCAUCUAAGCGGGAAACUUGCCUCAAGAUGAGAUCUCACUGGGAACUUGAUUCCCCUGAAGGGCCGUCGAAGACUACGACGUUGAUAGGCUGGGUGUGUAAGCGUUGUGAGGCGUUGAGCUAACCAGUACUAAUUGCCCGUGAGGCUUGAUC